CGUCUCAUACACCAACCUCGUCGACUCACCCACCAAAUAUUUUCCUUGUUCAGAAAAACGAAACACCAAUGAUUAGUUAAAAACUCAAGCAAUGAUCUUUCUUCUUUCCUUCACAAAUUCAGUUACAUCCCAAUUUGUAUCCCUCUACAAAUACCCAAUUCUCAGGAAAUUACAUUACCCACAAUUCUCCACUAUGUCUACCAAUUUCUUCAAGACUCAUGCUUUUGCAGGCAACCCAAUAAAACAAAAAACCCCAAAACCAAGUGAUCCAUUUUCACCAACAUCUGCUCUUAAAACUCUUAAAACCCUUCUUUUAGCACAAACCCAAGAACCCCAUUCACCUAAUUUCAAGAUCUUGCCUUUCAGAAAAGGAAGACCUUUAGCCGGGUCAGUUAAAGAGUCCACUGACCCGAAUUGGCACUUGGGUUGGUUGAGUUUUGGUGAUUGUAAGGCUUUCUUGGAGAAAUCUGAGAUUAAUUUGAGUGAAGAUUCUUUGGUUUAUUUGGGUUCUGAUGAUUCUGAAGGUGAUGGGGUUUAUGUUGUGUAUUGGGCUAUUGAUGUGACUGAGGCUGGUAGUGGAUUGGUUAAAGAAUUGGGUGGUAAGCAGUUUUGUUUUGUUGAGCUUAGGACUCUCAUGGUUGCUACUGAUUGGGAAAAUGCUUCUGCUAUGGGUCAACUUGCUAUUGCUGGUCAUGCCAGAUCAUUACUAGAAUGGCAUACGGUAUCGCGUUUUUGUGGAUUUUGUGGAGGUAAGAACAUUUUAACUGAUGCUGGGAGACGGAAACAGUGCUCUAAUGAGUUAUGCAAGAAGAAAAUCUACCCCCGAGUUGAUCCAGUUGUGAUUAUGUUAGUAAUUGACAAAGAGAAUGACCGCGUGCUAUUAAGUAGGCAGUCCAGAUUUGUGCCUCGCAUGUGGAGUUGUCUAGCUGGUUUUAUGGAGCCAGGAGAAAGUUUGGAAGAGGCUGUAAGAAGAGAAACGUGGGAGGAGACCGGUAUUGAAGUUGGACAAGUUGUUUACCAUAGUUCUCAGCCAUGGCCUGUUGGACCUAGCAGCAUGCCAUGCCAACUUAUGGUGGGAUUCUUUGCGUACGCAAAAUCGCUGGAUAUUAAUGUGGAUAAGGAGGAAUUAGAAGAUGCUAAAUGGCACAGCAGAGAAGAUGUGAAAAAGGCAAUCACAAUCGCAGAAUACAAGAAGGCACAGAGGUCGGCCGCAGGUAAAGUGGACCAAAUGUGUAAGGGUGUAGAAAGAGGACAGAACUUGUCUUCCGACUUCAAUGUAGAAAGUGGGGAACUUGCUCCUAUGUUUAUCCCUGGGCCCUUUGCUAUUGCUCAUCAUCUCAUUUCCUCUUGGGUCAAUGGGGUUGAAGCACAAGUUAAACAACUCGCGAGUUCUUUCUCAAAUUUAUAGGACUUCUGUAAUUGACAUCAACAAUGUUAUUCUCAAAGCUUCUUGGGUAAGUAUGAUGAUCCAUAUUGUCAAAUCUCAUGGGUGAUGAACUAUACCUUUGCUAUUGCUAGUACUGUAGAUGAGUAGUGCCGGCGAGUAUCCAAAUACGCACGUAUACGGACGUGUAUGCAUAUCAGGCGUGCAAGUAUACUUUUUAAGCAAUUGCACUUUGGCUCUUUUAUUUGUAAUUUGAAUUUUGGGUUAUAGAGUUGUGGAAGAAUUCCUGCUUCAUUUGUAUAAUGUUGAGUCUUCUGCUAAUUUAGGAAAACUUGUCCUCAUGAGUCGCCGUCUCACAGAGAUCUGAUCUCUGCCAUUUCUAUAGUAAGUAGUAUAUAGGUAGCAGUGAUGUUAUGGCAAUUUUGUUUAAAUUCCUUCAGAAAAGGAGACGACUGGAUUGCAGUGGUUUAGUGGAAAAACAUCAGAAGUUGCAACCAUUAAUUGAACAAAUCCUGAGGUGAAA